rnacentral:rRNA from 1 species
AACGGCCAUACCAUGCUGAAUAUACCGGUUCUCGUUAGAUCACCGAAGUCAAGCAUCACUGGGCUUGGUCAGUACUUGGGUGGGUGACCACCGGGAACACCGCGUGGCGU